rnacentral:rRNA from 1 species
UUAUAUAAUAAAUAUUGUUUAUAUUAUUUAAAUAAUAUAUUUUAGUAUGGUAAGAAUAAAUUUUUAUACUUUUUUUUUAAGCUUUUUUAUAAAUUAYUAUAAAAAUUUUGUAGUACCUUUUGUAUCAGGGUUAAUUAAUUAUUUUUUGUAUUUUCUAUUCCCGAAAUAAAGAGAUCAAUAAAUUUAUUUUUAUAUUUAUUUCAUAACAUAAAAUAAUUUUUUUAUUGUAGAUAUAUUCUAUUCGAUCUUUAUUAUAUCUGGUUAUUUAGGAUUAAAUCUAAUUUAAAAAUUAUUAUUUUAAUUGUUAUGUAAUAAGGGAUAAUCUUUAUUUUUYUUUAAAAUUUUAUUAAUUUUAUUUUUAUUAAUUUUUAAAUUUUUUAUUUAGUUAUUAUUAYAUUAGAAUUACUUUUAUAAGAUUUUGUUUAAUUUCUUUUUUUACUAAUUUAUUUUAGUUAAUUUUUUUUUAAAAUUAAUUUUGAUUUAAUAAGUAAAAUUUUAAUUUAAAACUAAAUGAAUUCGACAUAUAUAAUUUUCAACUGUUUAUCAAAAACAUUUUUUUUAGUUUAUAUUAAAGAUAUAGUCUGCCCUAUGAUGAUUUAAAUGGCUGCAGUAUUUUAACUGUACAAAGGUAGCAUAAUAAUUAGUCUUUUAAUUGAGGACUGGAAUGAAAGAUUGCAUGAGAAAUUUGUUUUAUUAUUUUUAAUUUUUAAAUUUUAUUUUUAAGUAAAAAAGCUUAAUUUUUGUUUUGGGACGAAAAGACCCUAUAGACCUUUAUUAAUUUUUAUAAUUUUUUUUUAGUUUUUAAUUUAUUUUAUAUAAUUUAAUUUUGUUGGGGUGAUUAAUAAAUAAAACUUUAUUUACCUUAUUCAUUAAUUUAUGUCUUUAUUGAAUUAAUGAUUUAUUAAAAGAUUAAGGUACCUUAGGGAUAACAGCGUAAUUUUUAUGGGGAGUUCAUAUCUAUAUAAAAGUUUGCGACCUCGAUGUUGAAUUAGAAUAAAUUGAGGAAGAAGUAUUUUUUAUAUUAAGUCUGUUCGACUUUUAAAUUUCUACAUGAUUUGAGUUCAGACCGGUGUAAGCCAGGUUGGUUUCUAUCUUUAAUUAAUUUUAAUAGUUUAGUACGAAAGGACCAACUAUUAUAUUUUAAGUUAAUGUUUUUUUUACAAUA